UACGUAGGGUGCGAGCGUUAAUCGGAAUUACUGGGCGUAAAGCGUGCGUAGGCGGUUCGCUGUGUCCGAUGUGAAAGCCCCGGGCUUAACCUGGGAAUGGCAUUGGAAACUGGCGGGCUUGAGUGCGGCAGAGGGGGGUGGAAUUCCGCGUGUAGCAGUGAAAUGCGUAGAGAUCGGGAGGAACAUCAGUUGCGAAGGCGGCUCUCUGGACCAGCACUGACACUGAUGAGCGAAAGCCAGGGGAGCAAACGGG
rnacentral:rRNA from 1 species